rnacentral:tRNA from 2 species
GCCGGAGUAACUCAGUGGUAGAGUGGCAGUUUUGUAAACUGUAUGUCGCGAGUUCGACUCUCGCCUUCGGCU